rnacentral:rRNA from 1 species
UACGAGGGGGGCGAGCGUUGUUCGGAAUUAUUGGGCCUAAAGCAUCCGUAGCCGGUUCUACAAGUCUUCCGUUAAAUCCAGCUGCUUAACAGAUGGGCUGCGGAAGAUACUAUGGAGCUAGGAGGCGGGAGAGGCAAGCGGUACUCGAUGGGUAGGGGUAAAAUCCGUUGAUCCAUUGAAGACCACCAGUGGCGAAGGCGGCUUGCCAGAACGCGCUCGACGGUGAGGGAUGAAAGCUGGGGGGAGCAAACCGG